rnacentral:rRNA from 1 species
UACAGAGGUCUCAAGCGUUGUUCGGAUUCAUUGGGCGUAAAGGGUGCGUAGGCGGCGCGGUAAGUCGGGUGUGAAAUCUUGGAGCUUAACUCCGAAACUGCAUUCGAUACUGCCGUGCUUGAGGACUGGAGAGGAGACUGGAAUUUACGGUGUAGCGGUGAAAUGCGUAGAUAUCGUAAGGAAGACCAAUGGCGAAGGCGGGUCUCUGGACAGUUCCUGACGCUGAUGCACGAAAGCCAGGGGAGCAAACGGG